AAGGCUUGACAUACACGAGAACGGGCCAGAAAUGGUCAACUCUUUGGACACUCGUGAACAGGUGGUGCAUGGUUGUCGUCAGCUCGUGUCGUGAGAUGUUGGGUUAAGUCCCGCAACGAGCGCAACCCUCGUUCUAUGUUGCCAGCACGUAAUGGUGGGAACUCAUGGGAUACUGCCGGGGUCAACUCGGAGGAAGGUGGGGAUGACGUCAAAUCAUCAUGCCCCUUAUGUCUUGGGCUUCACGCAUGCUACAAUGGCCGGUACAAAGGGCUGCGAUACCGUAAGGUGGAGCGAAUCCCAAAAAGCCGGUCCCAGUUCGGAUUGAGGUCUGCAACUCGACCUCAUGAAGUCGGAGUCGCUAGUAAUCGCAGAUCAGCAACGCUGCGGUGAAUACGUUCCC
rnacentral:rRNA from 1 species